rnacentral:rRNA from 1 species
CACAAAACAAGCGGUGAGUGCUUUGGGGUGGGGUGACUGCGUACCUUUUGUAUAAUGGGUCAGCGACUUAUAUUCUGUAGCAAGGUUAACCGUAUAGGGGAGCCGAAGGGAAACCGAGUCUUAACUGGGCGUUAAGUUGCAGGGUAUAGACCCGAAACCCGGUGAUCUAGCCAUGGGCAGGUUGAAGGUUGGGUAACACUAACUGGAGGACCGAACCGACUAAUGUUGAAAAAUUAGCGGAUGACUUGUGGCUGGGGGUGAAAGGCCAAUCAAACCGGGAGAUAGCUGGUUCUCCCCGAAAGCUAUUUAGGUAGCGCCUCGUGAACUCAUCUUCGGGGGUAGAGCACUGUUUCGGCUAGGGGGUCAUCCCGACUUACCAACCCGAUGCAAACUGCGAAUACCGAAGAAUGUUAUCACGGGAGACACACGGCGGGUGCUAACGUCCGUCGUGAAGAGGGAAACAACCCAGACCGCCAGCUAAGGUCCCAAAGUCACAGUUAAGUGGGAAACGAUGUGGGAAGGCUCAGACAGCCAGGAUGUUGGCUUAGAAGCAGCCAUCAUUUAAAGAAAGCGUAAUAGCUCACUGGUCGAGUCGGCCUGCGCGGAAGAUGUAACGGGGCUAAACUGUGCACCGAAGCUGCGGCAGCGACGCUUAUGCGUUGUUGGGUAGGGGAGCGUUCUGUAAGCCUGCGAAGGUGUCCUGUGAGGGAUGCUGGAGGUAUCAGAAGUGCGAAUGCUGACAUAAGUAACGAUAAUGCGGGUGAAAAGCCCGCUCGCCGGAAGACCAAGGGUUCCUGUCCAACGUUAAUCGGGGCAGGGUGAGUCGACCCCUAAGGCGAGGCCGAAAGGCGUAGUCGAUGGGAAACGGGUUAAUAUUCCCGUACUUGGUGUUACUGCGAAGGGGGGACGGAGAAGGCUAUGUUGGCCGGGCGACGGUUGUCCCGGUUUAAGCGUGUAGGCUGGUUUUCCAGGCAAAUCCGGAAAAUCAAG